GUUAUAAGUGAGGUUUAGGCCCUUUUAUGCAUGUUUUAUGGUAUGUGCUAGUUGGGAGUAGUUGAUAUGCAUGUUGGGUAAGUUUGGGGGAAAGGUUUGCAUGAAACAGAGCAGGGUUCUGCCCAGCGGGCAAAACCAGGUUCGGCCGCCGAAGGAAGGUUCGGUCGCCGAACCCCUUGUGGAGGCAGUUUCGGCUGCC
rnacentral:lncRNA from 1 species